CCACCGGGUUAGUAUCUAACCCACAACUAAUAAUCACAGUAUCCACAACCCCACAAACAAUUUCAUGAAGAUCGGUUUCCCAAUACCGAUUACCGUAACUCACCGGAAGUCCCGAAAACCACACCGGGACGCCGUCGGGACCCACUAAGUGUCCCGAAACUCACCGACUCGUGUCACGAGUCACCUGCUGCCCCAAAACACUCCAAUUUGGAUGUUUUGGCAGCAAACACAAGAUAACACCACUACACAAUUAUCGCCGGAUAAUUGUACGAAUCCGAGUUCCCGAAAGUGUCUAUUUCGACACCGGAACCCACCGUCGCUCACCCAUCAUCACCGAACCCACAAAAUGAUGAUGGUGACUAGCCAACAAGGCUCAGCGACCACACACAAGACAACCAAACCACGUCGGAAGAAAUCCGAACCGAAACCGCGUUCUUUCGGCGAAUUUCGCCGAAAAACGCACCGAAAUCGACCUACCGAUUUCCGCGAAAGCUAACGGACCAUGGACAAUCAGUCCAGCGGUCAUUACAAACUCCCACACACUGCCCACAGUAGCCACGCAAAGCACAAAUGCAUAAAAGACCCUCUAAUUACAUAAAAUCUCAUCA
rnacentral:lncRNA from 1 species